rnacentral:tRNA from 1 species
UAGCUGGUCGUCCAAUGGCAGGACACUGGGUUUUGGUCUCAGGAAUCAAGGUUCGAAUCCUUGCCGGCUAG